rnacentral:rRNA from 1 species
AACGAACGCUGGCGGCAGGCUUAACACAUGCAAGUCGAACGCCCCGCAAGGGGAGUGGCAGACGGGUAAGUAACGCGUGGGAAUCUACCCAGUUCUACGGAACAACAGUUGGAAACGACUGCUAAUACCGUAUACGUCCGAGAGGAGAAAGAUUUAUCGCCAUAGGAUGGGCCCGCGUCGGAUUAGCUAGUUGGUGAGGUAAUGGCUCACCAAGGCGACGAUCCGUAGCUGGUCUGAGAGGAUGAUCAGCCACACUGGGACUGAGACACGGCCCAGACUCCUACGGGAGGCAGCAGUGGGGAAUAUUGGACAAUGGGCGCAAGCCUGAUCCAGCCAUGCCGCGUGAGUGAUGAAGGUCUUCGGAUUGUAAAACUCUUUCGCCGGGGAAGAUAAUGACGGUACCCGGAGAAGAAGCUCCGGCUAACUUCGUGCCAGCAGCCGCAGUAAGAC